rnacentral:RNase_P_RNA from 1 species
CGAGUCGGCCGGGUAAUCGCGGCAGCUAAAGGAACCGGUCAACGCCCGCUGCGCGGGUGAUUGGCCAGGCCACUGUCGAGGAAAGUCCGGACUCCACAGGGCGCGGUGGUUGCUAACGGCAACCCAGGGUGACCUGCGGGAACAGUGCCACAGAAAACAAACCGCCGGCCCCAAAAGUCUUUGGCUUUUGGCGCCGGUAAGGGUGAAAAGGUGCGGUAAGAGCGCACCAGCGGCGUAGGUGACUGCGCCGGCUAGGUAAACCCCACCGGGAGCAAGGCAAGAGCGCGCACGAGGCGGACAGGCCCAGCCUGCCGUGGCGUGUGCGUGCGCGAGCGUUUGAGGGCUGCCCGCCCGAUGCCCGCGGGUAUGCUGCUUCAGGCUGUCAGCAAUGGCAGGCCGAGAUGGAUGAUUACCGCCCCGGGUCCUUGAAAGGGCCUUGAGGGGAACAGAAUCCGGCUCAUAGGCCGACUCGCUCG